rnacentral:antisense_RNA from 1 species
CUUGACCGACCCCAGCCACAGCGGACGAUCCUCCGGCCGACCCUGCCCAUAAGUCUCCAGCAAGGCCUGAGCCUC